UCAAACUGAACAAGCGCUCUACAACUGAGAUCCACACUCAUUCCAACGCUCUAUCUUAAUGACAAUGCACAGAAAAGAGUUAAGACUACAAGCGCAAAAGAAAAUCCAGAAACCUGACCUUGCCCACAAGUCGACUACUUCUGCACCCCUCCCCCUGGCUUCCCAAGAGCCGGUUCCUGUACUCCCAAUUGGCCAGCCUGCCAGUCCCAGCAUCUGCCUGGCAGUGACAGACAAGGGACUCUCCAAGGAAGACAGGAGGGUCUGGAAAGAGGCGGCCUGGGAAACAGUGGGGCCCAGGAGGAAAAAGAGAGGAGCUCCAGACAGCUGGGGUCGGGUGUUCGCGGCUGAAAGGGACUCGGCUUGCGGGGAGCGCUCGGGGACAGGAAGGGGAGCUCUCGAGAGGGCCCAGGUGAGGGAUCGAACUCAGGACCUCCCGUUUACCAGGCAGGUGCUGUGUCACUGAGCUAAAUCCCCGGCCCAGGAAUCUUCUUCUGAGCUGACUACAAGCACCAGGAGGGCAGCGACCACCCUGCCUGGUUUUCAGCUGUGUCCCCAACUCUGCUGGACAGAGCCAUCCCAAGAUGCCUGAUUGAACAGGGUGACUGGCUCCCAGAGUUCCGCCCUGGGGGCUACCCAAAAUCUAUCACCCUAGCUGGGGAAGAGCUAUGUGGUCUCCUGAAACAGUUCAGAGCUGCUGACCAAUUUUUUAGAGUCUGAAUCCAGAUUCCAUCACCUAAUGGCUUUGUGAUCCUGAGAUGCAAACAGCUGUGCUGAGGAAGCCCUGGGGAUAAAGAGCUGAGGAUGGCCUCCGGCAGCAGCCAGCAAGGCACCCAGGCUCUCUACCCUGCAGCCCUGCAUGUGGAACUGAGUGCUGCCCACACCUGAGCCUGGGAGCGGAUCCUGGUUGAGCCUCUGAUGACUCCACUGUGGGCCCAGCAGAUGUGUCAAUCGCAGCUUGUGAGAGGCAGAUUGUAAACUAUGCCCUUCUCCUGACCCACAGACACUGAGAUAAUAAGUGUGUGUUGUUUUGAUAAGUAAACCAUGCUCUUUA